UUUCGGAGAAAUAAUCAUUAU
ensembl:piRNA 21ur-9563 ncRNA